rnacentral:tRNA from 1 species
AUUUAUUUAGUAUAAUUAGUACAAUUGACUUCCAAUCAAAUAGUUUGAUAAUCAAAAUAAAUA